CCUCCCCUCUGCAUCAUCUCCGACAACCCUUUGCCUCCCGCUGUCGGAGGAGGCGGCGACAAUAAGACACGCGGCGUCAUCUCAAAUCUCGCUCGCCUCGUCCUUGGAGGCAUCGUCAAGCCUCUACAAACCCUAGGUCAGAUCUUGAACAAUAGAUCUCUGGAAGCUUCGUUGUCGGCUUGCUCUCUGGUUUCGUCGGAAGUUUUGCAUCACUCAUCGGCCAGAGGCGAGCAGACACGAAGAAUUCAAAGAAUUGGGGGAGUGUUGAAAAGAUUGUGCUGAUGAUGGUGCUGGGUUGAUCUGAGGUACGAUUGUGGCAUACAUGCAUAUUUUUUCAUCAAAGCGAUCCUAGAAGGAAGUGAGGCAAUGAAUAUUGACCAUCCAACUAUUUUUAGAUAGGAUGGUGAGUGGAUAUGACCAGGUGUCGACAUUCAGAACGUUCGAAUAUAAAGCAGUUCCUAGUCGAACGAAAAAAAGGCUCAUAUGAUUGUGGCAUACAUGUAUAUUUUUUCCAUCAAGGUGAUCCUAGAGAAAAGGUAGGCAAUGAAUAUUGAAGCCUUGCAAAGAGAGUCUGAGAUGUUACGGGCAGGACUUGCUGCUCAAAUCAUAUGCGAAGGUCGUGAAUGGAAGUAGUUAUGAUUGAAGUUAGAUAUUGAUGAUCCAUAAUAUCUUUUGUACUUUUGGGGUAAUGAUGUACCAUUGAUAUUAGACAAACAUAUAUAACUAUUUCAUUUGUUGGCUGUUGGAUGUUUACUAGCUGUUUGUAAAUGAUAAA